AUACGGAGGGGGCUAGCGUUGUUCGGAAUUACUGGGUGUAAAGCGUACGUAGGCGGACUGAUCAGUUGGGGGUGAAAUCCCAGGGCUUAACCCUGGAACUGCCUUCAAUACUGUCAGUCUCGAGAUUGGAAGAGGUGAGUGGGAUUCCUAGUGUAGAGGUGAAAUUCAUAGAUAUUAGGAGGAACACCAGUGGCGAAGGCGGCUCACUGGUCCAAUACUGACGCUGAGGUACGAAAGCGUGGGGAGCAAACAGGAUUAGAAACCCUAGUAGUCC
rnacentral:rRNA from 1 species